GACUACUGGGGUAUCUAAUCCUGUUUGAUACCCACACCUUCGAGCCUCAGUGUCAGUUGUACCCCAGUGAGCUGCCUUCGCAAUUGGAGUUCUUCGUGAUAUCUAAGCAUUUCACCGCUACACCACGAAUUCCGCCCACCUCUUGUACACUCAAGACAUACAGUAUCAACUGCAAUUUCACGGUUGAGCCGUAAACUUUCACAGCUGACUUAUAUGUCAACCUACGCUCCCUUUAAACCCAAUAAAUCCGGAUAACGCUUGGAUCCUCCGUAUUACCGCGGCUGCUGGCACGGAGUUAGCCGAUCCUUAUUCAUAAGGUACAUACAAAAAGGGACACGUCCCUCACUUUAUUCCCUUAUAAAAGAAGUUUACAACCCAUAGGGCAGUCAUCCUUCACGCUACUUGGCUGGUUCAGACUCGCGCCCAUUGACCAAUAUUCCUCACUGCAGCCCCCCGUAGG
rnacentral:rRNA from 1 species